rnacentral:rRNA from 1 species
GUGUCAGCCGCCGCGGUAAUACGUAGGUGGCUAGCGUUGUCCGGAAUCACUGGGCGUAAAGAGCGCGUAGGCGGCCAGUCAGGUCCGAUGUGAAAACCCGGGGCUCAACUCCGGGCCUGCAUUGGAAACCGGCUGGCUAGAGUCUGGGAGAGGAGAGUGGAAUUCCUGGUGUAGCGGUGAAAUGCGUAGAUAUCAGGAGGAACACCGGUAGCGAAGGCGGCUCUCUGGAACAGUACUGACGCUGAGGCGCGAAAGCUAGGGGAGCGAACAGGAUUAGAUACCCUGGUAGUCCUAGCCCUAAACGAUGGACACUAGGUGUCGGGGGUGUCGACUCCCCCGGUGCCGUAGCUAACGCAUUAAGUGUCCCGCCUGGGGACUACGGCCGCAAGGUUAAAACUUAAAGGAAUUGACGGGG